rnacentral:lncRNA from 1 species
AGUCUUUAUUGGGGUGACACAACAGCCACAGCUCCGGGUGUUGGUGGGGAUGGUGACAGCUCCAGGUGUUGUUGGGGACAAUCACAGCUCCGGGUGUUGGCGGGGACGGUGACGGUGACAGCGCCGGGCGUUGGGGACAAUCACGGCUCCGGGUGUUGGUGGGGACGGUGACGGUGACAGCGUUGGGUGUUGGGGACGGUGAUGGUGACAGCACCGGGUGUUGGGGACAAUCACGGCUCCAGGUGUUGGUGGGGACAGUGACAGCUCCGGGUGUUGGUGGGGACGGUGACGGUGACAGCGUUGUGUCUUGGGGACAAUCACAGCUCCAGGUGUUGGUGGGGACGGUGACAGUGACAGCGCCGGGUGUUGGGGACGGUGACAACAGUGGGGACAACUCCAGGUGUUGGGGACAAGUCCGGGUGUUGGUGACGGUGACAACACUGGGGACAACUCCAGGUGUUGGGGACAAGUCUGGGUGUUGGUGACAGUGACAACACUGGGGAUGGCUUAUGGUGACAGUGACGGUGCCAACACUGGGGACAACUCCGGGUGUUGGGGACAAGUCCUGGUGUUGGUGACGGUGACAAGACUGGGGAUGGCUCCGGGUGUUGGGGACAACUCCGGGUGUUGGUGACGGUGACGACACUGGGGAUGGCUCCAGGUGUUGGUGACGGUGACAACACUGGGGACAACUCCAGGUGUUGGGGACAAAUCCGGAUGUUGGUGACGGUGACGACACUGGGGACGGCUCCGGGUGUUGGCAAGAGCUCUGGGUGUUGGGGACGGCUCCGAGUGUUGGUGACGGUGACAGCGCUGGGGACGGCUCCGGGUGUUGGGGACGGUGACAACACUGGGGAC